rnacentral:lncRNA from 1 species
UUGUGGUGCUGUACCAACACCAGAACGCGAGCUGAGCUGUUGAGUCAACGCCGCUGCUGGUCUGUGUGGUGAAACUCUAACGGCGUUUCCCUCUAUAUGAUGCUCUGAAAAGGCUUUGCAUUCUAUUCAUUCGAACUUCGAAUAGUUCACGUCUUUCUGUCCUCAGCUGACUCCUGCACAAGGAGCUCUUAUUCCUUCCCCCCAUCCUUCCCUCUCACAACCACCAUGACCCUGAUGAGCGGCCUGUAGGGAGAAGUGUGAUUCUGUAUCAUCAGUGGAUCUCCACUUUGUCUCAAAGUGCUUACCAGGGGACCGGCAGCUGAUUGUCCAGAAGGGAAACGCUCUGAUUGGUCCGAUUUCAUCAGAUGAUGAUGCCACCCUGUCUGUUUCAGGAAGGACCGUAUUAUAAUAAUGAAGUCAAAGAGGGUUUGAACUAACACAGUACUAACACAGUACUAACGCAUUACUAACGCAAUACUAACACAGUACUAACACAGUACUAACUCAGUACUAACGCAGUACUAACGCAGUACUAAAACAGUACUAACACAGUCCUAAAGCAAUACUAACACAGUACUAACACAGUACUAAAACAGUACUAACACAGUACUAACACAGUACUAACACAGUACUA